GAAUCAAAGAGAGAGCUACGCGCGUAGAUCCUGAAGUCUAGGGCUUGCGGACGCGGGUUCAAUUCCCGCCGCCUCCACCA
rnacentral:tmRNA from 1 species